ACGCUCGACACCUACAGGAGGCAGCAGUGGGGAAUAUUGCACAAUGGGGGAAACCCUGAUGCAGCAACGCCGCGUGAAGGAAGACGGUUUUCGGAUUGUAAACUUCUGUUCUUAGUGAAGAUAGUGACGGUAGCUAAGGAGCAAGCCACGGCUAACUACGUGCCGGNAGCCGCGGUAAUCUGAGCGGGCUGGCAAGGC
rnacentral:rRNA from 1 species